UGGGGAAUCUUCCGCAAUGGACGAAAGUCUGACGGAGCAACGCCGCGUGAGUGAUGACGGCCUUCGGGUUGUAAAGCUCUGUUAAUCGGGACGAAUGGUUCUUGUGCGAAUAGUGCAAGGAUUUGACGGUACCGGAAUAGAAAGCCACGGCUAACUACGUGCCAGCAGCCGCGGUAAUACGUAGGUGGCAAGCGUUGUCCGGAAUUAUUGGGCGUAAAGCGCGCGCAGGCGGAUUGGUCAGUCUGUCUUAAAAGUUCGGGGCUUAACCCCGUGAUGGGAUGGAAACUGCCAAUCUAGAGUAUCGGAGAGGAAAGUGGAAUUCCUAGUGUAGCGGUGAAAUGCGUAGAUAUUAGGAAGAACACCAGUGGCGAAGGCGACUUUCUGGACGAAAACUGACGCUGAGGCGCGAAAGCCAGGGGAGCGAACGGG
rnacentral:rRNA from 2 species